GAUGAACGCUGGCGGCGUGCUUAACACAUGCAAGUCGAACGGUGAAGGCGGAGCUUGCUCUGCUGGAUCAGUGGCGAACGGGUGAGUAACACGUGAGCAAUCUGCCCCUGACUCUGGGAUAAGCGCUGGAAACGGCGUCUAAUACUGGAUACGAGCUGCGAAGGCAUCUUCAGCAGCUGGAAAGAACUUCGGUCAGGGAUGAGCUCGCGGCCUAUCAGCUUGUUGGUGAGGUAACGGCUCACCAAGGCGUCGACGGGUAGCCGGCCUGAGAGGGUGACCGGCCACACUGGGACUGAGACACGGCCCAGACUCCUACGGGAGGCAGCAGUGGGUAAUAUUGCACAAUGGGCGAAAGCCUGAUGCAGCAACGCCGCGUGAGGGAAGACGGCCUUCGGGUUGUAAACCUCUUUUAGCAGGGAAGAAGCGAAAGUGACGGUACCUGCAGAAAAAGCGCCGGCUAACUACGU
rnacentral:rRNA from 1 species